rnacentral:rRNA from 1 species
AUGAUGAAGUAUGAGGCUAUGACUGACUCUCACUUCGAGAAUCUAUACAAGUACCGAGAGACAUGGGUACCCUGCUACUUCAAGCACCAAUUCUUCCCUUUCUUGCAGUCAACUCAACACGGCGAGGGGUUUAAUGCUAUCCUUAAGCGAUAUGUGAACCUACACAAGUCCAUUUUGAACUUUGUGAAGCAAUAUCAGAAAAUCCAAACACACAUACUAGUCCGGGAGGGUUCAAAAGACUACAGAACAUCACAUUUACAGACUGAAAUGUGGUCAUCUUACCCAAUAGAGAAGCAGGCGUACGGAUCGUAUACUAGGGACUUGUACGAGAAGUUUCGUGAUGAGUUUCAGUUGACUACAAGGUACAAUGUGCGACCACAUGGUGAAAACUUGUAUGAGGUAUACCCCAAUCAAGAGUGGGUUGCCAAAUAUGGUUCUAGGGGCUAUUUUGUCACGGUCGAAGCUAGUGCUGGAGACUACAGGUGUGACUGCUGCAAGAUUGAGAGGGACGGCAUGCUUUGCUGCCAUAUCUUGAAAGUUUUCAACCAACUUGGUGUUGAUGAAAUCCCAGCGCAGUACAUACUUAGAAGAUAG